GAGGGCACAGCUCAGUGGUAGAGCACGUGCUUAGCGCGCAUGAGGUCUUGGGUUCAAUUCCCAGCACCUCCA
rnacentral:tRNA from 1 species